rnacentral:lncRNA from 1 species
CUAAAAAUCUUUAAAGCACAUGGUCAAAAGUGCACCUAUUCAAAAAAAGGUCUGGAAAAUAUUCUUUUCUUUUGUGAUUCUUUUAAAAGUCUGAUAUGGGUGUAAGUGUUCAGGACACAACGUAUGUAGGGGUUACAUUCCAGGGAUCAUGCCUAAACUCAAAAUUGUGUACAGUGUACAAAAUACAUUGGGUUCCAUGGAAGGUGAGACUGCCCAAUUUGAUUUUUCACAGAACCGUGCCCCCUUUAUUUAUUUAUUUGUUUGUUUGUUUGUUUGUUUAUUGCCAUGCAUGUAAAGCUGAAUGUGACAAGUUAAUGAGUAUAAGCUGUAUAAAAGAUAGCCAAUUAGCACACAUCCCAAAUAGCUUUCUCCAAAGAAAAUCUACAGUACAGAAAAAAAACAGUACUGACUUGCUCUCCUGUCACCUUCCUUGCUUACCUUGAAGAUAGAUGCCCCCUAAGGGAAGCAACAUGACAGUUCCUCCACUCCCCAAGACUAGGCUGGGUUCAAUUUUAAAUGUCUUACUAUGAAUAUUUUAGUCAUUUAAAGCAGAGUCAAGAGUGUGGUCAAAACAAACCUGCUCCCCUCACUCAGGCAUAUACAAUGCACUGGCCAGCAGGGGGCUACGGCACACACUAAUGACCCGAAAAUCCAGGGUUGGCAGAGCUCUGUUACCACUGCUUAGGAACAAAAGCACAAAACCUGGUGGUAGUUGCUACCUCCUGCUAGGACACAAAGCAGUUGGUAUAUCCCACUCCAACCCACUUCUCCAUCUGUUUGAACACUCAAAGAAUAGCAAGGGAUUGAAGUGGUGAGCUGUCAAAGGUUUGUUCUACAUGGCAAGCUGCCUGAAUAUUUAUUACAAAGGUAGGGGAUAAAAGCUGAAAAACAAGAAACAAUGAGUGUGUUUGACCCCAUUUACACAUUAUAUGUACUUGCAUGUAUGCCAAAUACAAAAAUAAAUGUCAUACCUGCUAACCUCUUUCACACAAACAUGUGAUUACACAUACACCUCUGCCCCAACCCCAGAAAGGUUUGCCCAGUGCCUUUUUUAAAUAUAUUUAGGCACCAGACAAAAACAUUCCUCUUCUUCCAGGUCUUUGUUUAAUUAAACAAUCUGUGGCCUUUUAAACUUUGAUAGGGUCACUGUCUGUUGCUCUUGUUAUUUUGGUCUGUAUUUUUUUGUUUUUAUAUUGUAAACCUCUCUGUGAUCCUCAGAUGAAGGGCAGUACAGAAAUACAAAAAACAAACAAGCAAAUCUGCAGCUCAUUACUGUAUGAGAUUCCAGUUAUCCCCACAUUCUUUCCCCAACUGCCAUAUAUUUCUUCUUCCUUAUGUCUCAGCUAUUGCAUAUAUAUCACACCACACACAUAAAACUUUAUGCAUGUAAACAAUUCAUGAGAGAUAUACACUGGCAUAUGCAUGAUAUGUGUGUGUAGGUGUAGCAAAGCCUAUGAUGGCUCAUAGGACAAAUUCAAAAAUCCACAUUAGCAUACCAUCCCCAACAUUUCUCGGAUGAAAAUAGGGAUGUCCCAUUCAAUAAUGGUAAUUUUACUAUUUAUACUCCACACAUCUUAUUGGGUUGCCCCAGCACUCCAGGCAGCUUCCAACACAUAUCAAAACAUAAUAAAAUAUUAAACAUUUAAGAAAACUUCCCUAUACAUGAUUGCCUUCAGAUAGCUCGGGGGUUGGAUAAUUCCAUACCCUCCAACAUUUCUCUAAUGAAAAUAGGAACAUCCUAAGGAAAAGCGGGACAUUCCAGGAUCAAGUAAGAAACUGGGGUGGCUUCUCUAAAUCAGGGACGUCCCUGGAAAACAGGGACACUUGGAGGGUCUGUAUUAGGGCAAUACAUUUAGUAGGCAGACUGAAAUGUCACAAAAUAAAGUGUGCACAAGUUUUCAAGUUCUCCAGAACCCCAGCAGCCGAGAUGGUAAAUAAAGCAGGGAGUGGGAGGAGAGAAAAAAGUGGCCAAUGUUGCUGCAAAGGAGUCUGGAUUUGCUGCAAAGGAGUCUGGAUUUAGUCUGUCUUACUGUGUGUUUGUUUUGUGUGUGUGUGUGUGUGUCUCUGUGCAUCUCACACACAAUCACAUUUGCUUUUAUGCGAACCACUUCGACAAUGCUUGUGUUUGUAGAAAAUGCAGUCCAUAUCUAAAUCAGCAAUGACUAUGUAUGCACCCAGGUGUGUAAUAAUAAGAAGAAGAUGAUGAUGAAGAAUUACUCCACCAUUUAUGAAUUGCUUCCUAUGAAGCGCCUCAAAGCGAUUUCGCAAUGCCAGGCUGGGCCCAAAGCUAGUCAGAGCCAGAGACAAAAUUGGAAGGAAUAGAAACGCUUGCUUCAGGUCCAUAACUCCCAAUGGCUCUACUCUUGAGUAGAACUCUGUCCUGGACUUGAAGCUGCCUUUGAUAUAUGCAGUCGCUUUCUACACGGGUUGCAUCCAGCAGGUGCCAAAUUCCUAUAACACUCCCUCCCACAAAAUGCCCACCUUCCACCCCUUU